AUACUGCUUAGGAGUCCCACAACAGGACGAAACGGCCGUCCAGUGC
rnacentral:hammerhead_ribozyme from 1 species